rnacentral:lncRNA from 1 species
CCUGCUGUACUGAACUCCGUACAUAUCCGAUGACCAUGGAACUGAGUUAUUUCAGACUGGUUAACUGCUUCUUGAUCCUGUGUCCAGGUUGCAGAAAUCAUUCUUGAAGAUUUUUCCAGAGUUAAUAUCGCCAGCUUCAUUUCUUCCUCUAUUUCCGUCCUUGGUGGAUCUUCCUGGUAAGUAGCUGCAGCUGUUUGUGUAAUAUAACAAUUUUUUCUAGUAACAAGUGAUUUAAUUUCUGCUAAGUGCUUUUUGGCAGUACGGUCAGAACCUCUCUGAAC